GGCGCUGUGGCGUACCAGGUAAAGUGGCUGCCUCCAGUGCCGGCAUCCUGGGUUCAAGUCCCAGCUGCUCCA
rnacentral:tRNA from 1 species